GGAAUUUUGCGCAAUGGGCGAAAGCCUGACGCAGCGACGCCGCGUGGAGGAUGAAGGCCCUUGGGUUGUAAACUCCUGUCAGGUGGGACGACAGACGCUCGGUGAACAGCCGGGCGGCUUGACUGUACCACCAGAGGAAGCCCCGGCUAACUCCGUGCCAGCAGCCGCGGUAAUACGGAGGGGGCAAGCGUUGUUCGGAAUCAUUGGGCGUAAAGGGCGUGUAGGCGGCCGUUCAAGUCGGGUGUGAAAUCCCUCGGCUCAACCGAGGAAUCGCAUUCGAUACUGUUUGGCUAGAGUCCGGGAGGGGGUAGCGGAAUUCCCAGUGUAGCGGUGAAAUGCGUAGAUAUUGGGAAGAACACCAGUAGCGAAGGCGGCUACCUGGACCGGUACUGACGCUGAGGCGCGAAAGCCAGGGGAGCGAAU
rnacentral:rRNA from 1 species